UUAGCCUAAACUUGAUGAUAUUUUCACAAACAACAUCCGCCAGGGUACUACAAGCGCUAGCUUAAAACCCAAAGGACUUGACGGUGUCUCAGACCCACCUAGAGGAGCCUGUUCUAGAACCGAUAAUCCCCGUUAAACCUCACCACCCCUUGUCCCCUCCGCCUAUAUACCGGCGUCGCAAGCUUACCCUGUGAAGGUUCUACAGUAAGCAAAAUGGGUAAAUCCCAAAACGUCAGGUCGAGGUGUAGCUUACGAGGUGGGAAGAAAUGGGCUACAUUUUCUAAUUCAGAAUAUAACGAACGGUACUGUGAAACCAGUGCCUGAAGGUGGAUUUAGUAGUAAAAAACAAAUAGAGAGUCUUUUUGAACCAGGCUCUGAGACGCGC
rnacentral:rRNA from 1 species